rnacentral:rRNA from 2 species
CUCCGGCCCGCAUUGUAAUUUGCAGAGGAUGCUUUUGGCGAGGUGCCUUCCGAGUUCCCUGGAACGGGACGCCAUAGAGGGUGAGAGCCCCGUAUGGAUGGACACCAAACCUGUGUAAAGCUCCUUCAACGAGUCGAGUAGUUUGGGAAUGCUGCUCUAAAUGGGAGGUAAAUCUCUUCUAAAGCUAAAUACCGGCCAGAGACCGAUAGCGCACAAGUAGAGUGAUCGAAAGAUGAAAAGCACCUUGAAAAGGGGGUUAAACAGUACGUGAAAUUGUUGAAAGGGAAGCGCUUGUGACCAGACUUGCGCCGGGCAGCUCAUCAGGGGUUCUCCCCUGUGCACUCUGCCCGGCUCAGGCCAGCAUCGGUUCUCGUGGGAGGAUAAGAACAGUGGGAACGUGGCCCCCUCUCGGGGGGGUGUUAUAGCCCAUUGUACGAUACUCUCGUGGGGACCGAGGUUCGCGCUCCGCAAGGAUGCUGGC